UAGAGGGCUUAAACACAUUGUUUAAGUCGCAUUAGGUAUUUUAAAUACUGGUGUAACAUGACGAACGGUCCUAAGGUUAACUUAACGCUAGCUUUAGUAAAAUUAGGCUAUAUGCUGGAAAGUCCGGUGUAUUCUCCAGUACUCGCUUUUAAAAAAGCAGGAAAAAAGCAGUGAUAAUCUGUGAGAUGCGGAUAAUCAGCAGGAAAGACUCAAUUUUUAUUGAGAAUCCUCAGAGACUACACGCCUAACACGGCUAUUGUAAGCCGUGAAGAGAUAGUCCGAGCUUUAUGGCGACAUAAAG
rnacentral:ncRNA from 1 species